rnacentral:rRNA from 1 species
AGAGUUUGAUCCUGGCUCAGAUUGAACGCUGGCGGCAUGCCUUACACAUGCAAGUCGAACGGCAGCGGGGACUUUGGUCCGCCGGCGAGUGGCGAACGGGUGAGUAAAGUAUCGGAACGUACCUUUCAGUGGGGGAUAACGUAGCGAAAGUUACGCUAAUACCGCAUAUUCUGUGAGCAGGAAAGCAGGGGAUCGCAAGACCUUGCGCUGAUUGAGCGGCCGAUAUCAGAUUAGCUAGUUGGUGGGGUAAAGGCCUACCAAGGCGACGAUCUGUAGCGGGUCUGAGAGGAUGAUCCGCCACACUGGAACUGAGACACGGUCCAGACUCCUACGGGAGGCAGCAGUGGGGAAUUUUGGACAAUGGGGGCAACCCUGAUCCAGCCAUGCCGCGUGAGUGAAGAAGGCCUUCGGGUUGUAAAGCUCUUUCGGCCGGGAAGAAAUCGCAUAGGUUAAUACCCUGUGUGGAUGACGGUACCGGAAUAAGAAGCACCGGCUAACUACGUGCCAGCAGCCGCGGUAAUACGUAGGGUGCGAGCGUUAAUCGGAAUUACUGGGCGUAAAGCGUGCGCAGGCGGUUUCGUAAGACAGAGGUGAAAUCCCCGGGCUCAACCUGGGAACUGCCUUUGUGACUGCGAAGCUAGAGUACGGCAGAGGGGGGUGGAAUUCCACGUGUAGCAGUGAAAUGCGUAGAGAUGUGGAGGAACACCGAUGGCGAAGGCAGCCCCCUGGGCCGAUACUGACGCUCAUGCACGAAAGCGUGGGUAGCAAACAGGAUUAGAUACCCUGGUAGUCCACGCCCU